rnacentral:rRNA from 1 species
AUUGAACGCUGGCGGCAGGACUAACACAUGCAAGUCGAGCGAGCGUCGGACGGGUGAGAAAUGUAUGGGGACUCCCCGAUAGAGGGGGAUAACUACUGUAAACUGUAUCUAAUAUCGCAUAAUAUCGGAUAACGCCUAUGGGAUUAGCUAGUAGGUGAGGUAAUGGCUCACCUAGGCGCCGAUCCCUAGCUGGUCUGAGAGGAUGAUCAGCAACACUGGGACUGAGACACGGCCCAGACGCUUACGGAGGCAGCAGUGGGGAAUAUUGCACAAUGGGCGCAAGCCUGAUGCAGCCAUGCCGCGUGUAUGAAGAAGGCCCUAGGGUUGUAAAGUACUUUCAGUCGGGAGGCGUUACCGACAGAAGAAGCACCGGCUAACUCCGUGCCAGCAGCCGCGGUAAUUC